CAUUUCACUGCCCAAAUAUCGGCCAAUAUACUACAAUCGGACGUUUGCGGCGAACUCUUGACCAAAAUUCACGACCAAUAUACUACGAUUUCCUCAAAAUAUACUACGAUUCGUGACAAAUAUACUUUCGAAAGUGUAAAACGGCCAAAAUAUAUUGAACAAUAUCGGUCAAAUAUACAAAAUUCAACCAAUACACAAAUUA
rfam:Spodoptera exigua multiple nucleopolyhedrovirus isolate VT-SeOx4,complete genome